rnacentral:rRNA from 1 species
AGUCAUGGUUAAGUGGGAAACGAUGUGGGAAGGCCCAGACAGCCAGGAUGUUGGCUUAGAAGCAGCCAUCAUUUAAAGAAAGCGUAAUAGCUCACUGGUCGAGUCGGCCUGCGCGGAAGAUGUAACGGGGCUAAACCAUGCACCGAAGCUGCGGCAGCGACGCUUAUGCGUUGUUGGGUAGGGGAGCGUUCUGUAAGCCUGUGAAGGUGUACUGUGAGGUAUGCUGGAGGUAUCAGAAGUGCGAAUGCUGACAUAAGUAACGAUAAAGCGGGUGAAAAGCCCGCUCGCCGGAAGACCAAGGGUUCCUGUCCAACGUUAAUCGGGGCAGGGUGAGUCGACCCCUAAGGCGAGGCCGAAAGGCGUAGUCAAUGGGAAACAGGUUAAUAUUCCUGUACUUGGUGUUACUGCGAAGGGGGG